CCCUUAGAUGUUCUGGGCCGCACGCGCGCUACACUGAUGCAUUCAACGAGUCUAAAACCUGGUCUGAUAGGGCUGGGUAAUCUUUUGAAAGUGCAUCGUGAUUGGGAUAGAUGAUUGCAAUUCUUCAUCUUCAACGAGGAAUGCCUAGUAAACGCAAGUCAUCAGCUUGCAUUGAUUACGUCCCUGCCCUUUGUACACACCGCUCGUCGCACCUACCGAUUGAAUGUUUCGGUGAAGAUUCCGGAUAGGACUGAUUUGAUUUAUUUCAUUUCUGACCUAAAAGCUAUCUAAACCUCAACAUUUAGAGGAAGGUGAAGUCGUAACA
rnacentral:rRNA from 1 species